ensembl:lncRNA
CUCUCCCCAGCUGGAGGCUAUGUGUUACCCUUUGAAGAGCAGGAGGCCAGAAAGCAAUACCUCCAUAAGAUUCUAUAACAUUUUUAGCAAGGUAAGGGGCCAAUGAUAUCCUGCCUAGGGUGUGGUGAUACAGAGCCUAGGGCUGGACUUUCACUCAAAAGACAGCUGCUCCUUGCAUGGCUUCCCUGGAGGGAAGGAGGAAUGAGAUCUCCCAUGAGAUUCAGUCCUCAAGGACCUCCCCUUUUGAGGGUCAUUAUUCCUGGAACCUCUCUGACAAGCUGGGGUGGCCUUGCCUGAGGUCCACUGUCAGAAAAGAAUGCAGCACCGACUCCAGCAUGAAGAGGAGUCUGGCCCAGUGGGCUGAGUCUGGGCCAGUUUAGGCCCAGUGUGUUUGAGUCUGGAAGCCCCUGAAAACCUGAAGCACUGACUGAGCUUCUGACAUGUGACUUGGAAACAGGAAUGUGGGGCACCACUUUGGUCUGUUCAGUAGUCUGGUCCAGAAGGAAAACCAACCGGUGGAGUAGAAAGCAUUCAGAAAACCGCAUUGGAAUCUGUUUAACAGUGACAGUGUGGUGACCCCUGUAGGGGCCCUGGUGAGCUCUGUCCUGGAGGCGGACCACUCUGGACAAGGCAAGCCGCAAGUCUCAGUUUACGCCUAGAAAAGGAUCUUCAAGCAGGAGAGAUGAGGUUGCUUGAAAAACUGGGCUCAUGGAAAGUUAUACUGUACUUGGAAAAAUAAAAGCUAUCUUCUGGGAUAUUUGAAAGAACACCAGACAUCUGUCGGUACCAGUGUCCUAUUGCUGCUUUAAUAGAGGACCACAAAUGGAGCGGCUUACAACACAAACGUAUUAUUCUGCACUUCUGGAGAUCAGAAGCCUGAUACCAGUCUUGCUGGGCUAGAGUCAGGAUGUCAGCAAACCUGGCUCCUCUGGGAUGCUCCAGGAAGGAAUCUGUUUCCUUGCCUUUUCAGCUUUGUAGAGGCUUCCUACAUUCCUUGGCAAGGCCCCUUCCUGGAGCUCUCCCUCAGCUUUCAUUGUCCCAUCUGUCUCACUGACUCUCCUUCCCUCUUCCGGUGAAAAGACUCUCACAAUUGCACUGGGCCACCAGACUGCCCCGGGGUGAUCCCUUCAUCAGAAGAUUCCUCUAUAUCAGGCACAUCCACUAGGCCCCUUUCACCAUGUGAGGUAACAUCUUCACAGGCUCUGGGGGUUAGGUGUAGACAUUGGGAGAUAAUUAUCCUAUCUACUAUAGUCUCCAUCUUCUAAUCUUCUUCAGCUUUUGUUUCUGUCCACUCAAGCCAUACCCUGUUGUAAAUGUUUUACAGGCAUUAACUCCUUUCAUCUUCAUGAUCACUCUGGAAGAGGGGUUUGUUAUUACAGAUCAGGAAACUGAGGCCAAAAGAUUAAACACUGCUUGCCUGGGGCCACUAAUUUAGUUUUCAAGCCUAGGCAGAAUGGCAUCUGAGCCACACAAGAUCAGACUUUGUCCUUGAAAAUGUUUACUGUCUUUUCUAUUUUUAAUUAUAAAAGUAACACAAUGUACAGAUG